GAUCAUUAGUGAAGAUUCAAGGGCCAGCCAUACAGACGUACAAUAAGUGUGUCUCUGGCGGCUCGUAUCCACUAUACAUCCAUAAACCCGUGUGCACUGUUAAGGAGUAAGAAAGAAGAAGGGGAAGGGAGAGUGCAUGUGCUUUGCAUAUAACUCUCUCUCUCUCUUCCUUUCUCUCUCUGGUUAAUUACAAACUCGUAUGGAUUUGUAUGAACGUGAGAUAUAUCGUUGGACCGUCACUGGCCAACAAAUAUAACACAACUUUCGACAACGGAUCUCUUGGUUCUCCCAUCGAUGAAGAACGCAGCGAAACGCGAUAGGUAAUGUGAAUUGCAGAAUUCCGUGAAUCAUCGAAUCUUUGAACGCACCUUGCGCUCUAUGGUAUUCCGUAGAGCAUGCCUGUUUGAGUGCCGUGAAUUCUCCCAUCCCAAGCGGUUUUUAUCAAAGAAUUGCUAGGCGAAGGGGUUGAGAUGGGCGUUGUUAUAACUGCUUUUCUUCUCUAGAAAAGCUCGCCCGAAAAACAGCUAACGCCUCUGGGCCACUUUGCAUCCGCUUCUCUGAGGGGAGAAGCGGCCAAGCGCGCUCUGAUCAUCAGGCAUAGCAUGAUACGUCAUUUGCUAUGCUGUAGGAGAGCAUUUGGUUGUGGUUAUACCGCGUGCGUCAUUUUUUUUUGCAAACGCAAAGAAAAAAAGCCCCCUUUCA
rnacentral:misc_RNA from 1 species